GUGGCUCUUUGGCUGUUUAACUGACAGGGUUGCAGCUGGAGGUAGAACAGGUCCGGGACCUUGUUAAUGUAAUCACUGUCAGCUUUCCUGUAAGGAUCCCCACCCAGGCACCAGCAGAGAACCUGUCUGUGUCCUCCAUGGCUUUUGCAGGGAACUCAGAGGUGGUGGGAGGCCCAGGCCAGGGAGGAAGAGUGAGCUACAUCAACACAGGAAAUGGAAUGGAGCAGUGUGCAGCUGCUGCCAGCCAGGCUGAGGCUUGAGGACUCACAUCUGGACAGAGAAGACAUUUUCCUCUCAGUGCCUCGGUAGCCUUCAGCCACUGUAGGAGCGGGCAUGCUGUUGUCACAAGCAGUCAGAUCCUGGACAUGGCAGCUGACCUGCCUUACUUGGAUGUUAGCAGAAGCUUCUUCAAGGAUGACCAAAUGUUGGCCUUGCCUUGUGCCAAGCUCAGUGCAGACAGAAGCCAGUACGCUGAAAGCUGAAAGAGAAACAAUCGAGAAGCAGUCCCCGUUCCGGGAAGAAGCAGCCAUCAUCACACAGAGGGUGUUCUCGCACAAGAAGAAAAGCUCUUCCUUUAUGAGGAUGAAUUUUUACUGAAAAUCCUUCCUCUGCCUACAUGCAUGAGAGACAUUGGGCUGAUUGGACAUGCCACCUUAUUGAAUGACUGCCUGAUGGACAUGGUAAAGGUAGCCCAGAAUCUGUCCCCUGUGGGAAGAGUGUCCUGGGGACAUAGACUCUCUGGGCAGCAAAGUCUGAGUGCUGUCCUUCUCUGUGCCCCACCCACCUGUUCUUCAUUGGCUGAGCAUGGCUCCUGGGGCUGAUGUGCGGGCCACAGCGCACAUCGCACACCACUCUGCUUUCUUCUAGGUCAUAGUGACCCCUGCUGGUGUUGGGAGUAACUGCUCCCAGAGGGCUAGGGGUUCCUUGUCUUGGCAUCCUCAAUAUGCUGAGCCGGUGUGUCAGAGCCCAUCUUUUCUAUCGGGCUAUCUUUAAUGAUUUCAUGAGCAUCCUACUGUUCCAUGUAAUUAGGAAGAGAUUCCUCUGGACUUAGGCCUAGCUAUGGACAAUAGAUACAGGAACUUCAUGUUGCUCAGAGAGCAUUCCUUUCCCUAGACUAUGUUGUUUGCAUACUGCAGAACAUUCCUGAUCCUUCUCUUGAAAUGCUGUUCUGGGGGAGACUGUCACUUCUCUGACAGGCAUAGAGAGGACUUGCUCCCAACAGUACCUGCCUAUUUUCCCUACCUGAGCAAGGGCUCAGCUCACGGGCUUGGCAGGCUCUCACCCCUGCAAGCCUUUUUCUUGCCGCCCUGCUCUGGGCUUCCCAUGUCCACUUCUCUCCAUGUUGCUUCUAGCCGCACUCUGGAAGAUGCUCAAAGAGUGGGUUGGCUAAGGUCAGAAGCAUGGCACAGCGGGAGGAGACCAGGGGACUGUACUUGAGACUAUUGCGUUGUGUAUCUUUGUCCCUAUUGUGCGUUCAGGCCCAGACACCCACAUUCUAGAGGGGAGGAAGGGCUUUUACUGGUCUCUAUGGAACCUGACCUCCUCAGAUUCAUUGAUAAUUCAGGCAGUGACUCUAUGCUGUCGUGCAAGGUUAAUUUUCACUCAGCAGUGAUAUCUGCUGCAUCUCCAGUGACUCCAUGGUCAUGGUUUGGUCACUGAUGAUUGGAACCUUAUUUCGGUCUCCAUGGUGAUCACACUACUUCAGCAUCUUCUGAGGCCACAUACCCUCUCACCUGCUGUGUGUUACCCACCAUCUUUGCAAGGCAUGGAUUUGACUGCAGGCUGCCUCUCUGGGUUCCCAGGUCAGCCCUGCUCUGCCAGGUUCCUGUCCAGGAGAAAGCAAGUGUGGUCCUGACAAGGCAGGCAGUCUCUCCAUGCAGUGGUGUGGCCCGUGGCAGCCAGCAGAUAGAGUCCUCUGAGCCCCCUGGAUCCCUGCAGGAGACCAGGAAAAGAGGAUUCUACAACAUGACAGCUGGCGUUGAUCUUACCACCUCUUGGACCUUUUGAUGAAGUUUUUCCAGGAACGUGGCAACCUUAGCAAGAAACUCAGACAACAGAGGGUGGGAAAGGCAGGCCAGGGAAGGGAUGAAGCUGGAGUGUCCCUCAGCACGGGGGGCCACUGGCUCCAGGGCCUGCAGGUGUGGCCUCCAUGUAAGCCUCACAAGACAUUAGUGUCUGUUCCCUGACUUCGGUGAGGCCUCAGAUCAAGGAAGAACACUCCUGGGAGAUGUUCUCAUGGGACAUCCAAUCCUUCCAAGAAUGCUGGGUUUAUGGGUUCUUUGAGGAUGCUGGACAUGGGGUAGGCAUGGACAAGAGCAGGACAUGACCAGCACACACACAAGGGGAUCACCCUGAGUGUCCCGCCUCAACUUCUUGCCAUGCUUGACUUGCAAGUUGUUCUGUAGAUGUUUCUUGCUUGAGUCACUAGAUAAGGGAGUUCUGGAGUGACACUUGCCAGGCCUCACCAGGCACUCCGUGAACCUUUCUUAUCAUCUCCAGGCCCUUUGCCAGGUGAUGCUCCAAUCCCAGGCAGACCUUCUGUUCCACGCCAUCUCCCUCCAGUUUCUUUGUUACAUCUUUUGGUUUUAGCUGUUGAGCCCUCCUUAGAGGGUUCUCCAGAGCUCAUGGACCCCAUCCUCUGCAUUCUUCUUGUUGUUUUCUCAAGCAUCCGUGGACUUGUCUCUCCCUGGUAUUCACACUUCCUUGUGAAUCUACCCUUCCCGCAUCAGGCCUGCCCUGUCUGAAACAGGGGCCUUGCUGCUGUUCAUGUCUGGUGCCGCUCCUGACUACCUUGCUCCUUCUUUGGUGCUCAUGGAAUCUGCAAGAGUGACAGAGACUGAUGUGGAGGUCUGGGUGGCCUGGUUGCCCAGGAGAAGGUUGAGAGUGGGGUCACUAGUUGUAUCUUGAUAAUUCUGGAGGGAAAAAUCCUACCUUUGUCCACUUCAGUCACUCCAGGAAGAACAGUUCAUUUAUUUGGCACCUUGUGCUGGGAUAGAAGGCAGUUGUUACACAGUUUAAGCCUAAUCUAAGAUGUAGAAGGUCCUGGUUUCUAGCCAGAAUAUAGGCGUUUUGACCAGGAUCUGAACCUUGGCCACGGGUUUUAAGUUGGGGCUGGGCCUCAUUGUGCAGUAGCGUAGGGGCUGGGAGAGCGACAGAGGUCGUGGAGCCUGACUUUGAGGCUGGAAAGAAUGAGAGACUGGAAUGAAGCAGCUUUAGGGCGUGCAGAGGAAGAGUGCCUGGAGACUAGGUGGUAGCCAGCAGCGACUUGCUGCUCAGAGAGCAUUAUGCCACGGCAGCACGGGCCGCAUCUCUGCCGCACGUGACCCUCUGAGCUCUUGAGGGGCCACGGCUGCUAAGAACUGGGGGGCUGCUCUUCUAUUUUAUGCUGCAGAAGGAGGCAGAGUAGACUCACCUGUGGCCCGGUGAUAAGCUCUUGUGGUGGCUAGAGGAGACGCGGAGGUGCAGUCUGCAGCCAGGGGGCAGGUGGGAUCAAGAGGCCUGGUGGGCAGAGUAGGUUAGCACCCAUUGCCCUUGGGCCCAUGACUGCCCUGACCUCAGACCACCCUUCCUGUCUCAUGCACCAUAGUCCUUGACUUUCCCUUCAAGGUAGGGCCCAGGUCUUGGGAAUCCCAUCACAGAUCCUGGUAAGGAUUAUGCAGAUGCAUGGUGAGUUCCUUGUAUUUUGCACAGUUAAUGCAGGCUCUGAGUCUCUUCUCCUGCUGGCCAUCUCUGCAGGCUGGAAUCAGGGACUGGACAGAGUCCUGUAGAGGAGCCCAAGCAAGCAUUGGCUGUGGAUUCCCAGCACCAGUGUCCCGGGAUAUGGACCAGUGACAGUGAUUGCAAGGGUUCAGAGGGCCCAUCAUUUAUAGGGUGCUUCCUCCACCCAACUCCAUGGCUUCCAAAGCCACUGUAUGGGUGGUGGGGGGGGAACCAUUUGAAAGAGGAAUAGGUGUAAGGGAACUGAAACAGUUCGUCCCCCUCCAAAGCCAGACAGCAUGGCUCUAUUCCCCGCUUCAUCCCUCUCUCUGAGCAUCAUCCAUGGACACAGCUUUAUUCCAGGUGUAGAACCUGGUAGGUGUCCCAGUUGUGAUUGCCUCCCUGUCAGGGUUCUGCAACUUGCAUCCUCAAACACAUAUCUCUCUUCACUCAGGAACUAACUAGUGUGUCUGUUCGCGAGUCCCUCCCUGCUUGAAAGUUGGAGGUGGUUUUACUCAGACUCAGGCCCUGACCCAGGCAGGAGACAUAGUGCUGUAGAUAUGUAGAAAGAUGUUUCAAAAGUGCUAAAAUGGAGUAAAGCACAGGCAGGAUUAUCCCUAAAAUAUGGUGACUCUGUGGUGGUCACAGCCCAGUGACAAGUAUGUUCCUGUCUCUUGCCCUGUUAUGUGACCUACAUGAGCAGCAAAUAUACUAAAUUCUCCAGUAAGUGUGGCACUGUCAGUCUGAUUACACCCUCCUUCACGAAGCAGGAAAGAACAUAAAAUGUGACCCGAGUAGACACAGUCGCUGGCUGCAGCAAGCUUUCCUUAGCAAGGUAGCUACUCAGCUGCCCCCUCCUCCGGCCAAGCUGUGAGCAAUUCGUGUGAUGCACGGCUACCCAACCAAGUUAUCAGUGGCCCGGGUCCUCAUUUUGCAGACCAUGAUGUUAGUCCUGAAAACACUAUGUGGUAUGGCACUAAUCUGCCACAUAACCCUCAGGUACCUUUUUGGCCAGUUGUACCAAAGUUUUGGAGAAGCAUAAACUAAACACUAUGACGCCCCACAUGACUGUCCCUUAUGCAAACCUGGGGUCUCUGGCAGCUGCCCCAAAGACGUGUGCAAGAUGCAGCCAGACGACGCACUGCCAGAGCUGAUAGGUGAUAACACUGCUGUAGUGAACAGAACGCCUCAAGUCCCCGGUAGUGGGCAACCCAGUGAGGCCUCAAGUGGCUUGUUCACCAGGAGAGGGGUCAGCCAGCUCAUGUCACACUGUGGGGAGUCUCUGGCCUUCCUAACUCAGCACUCUUGAUCUUGUGGGUCUCUUCUCUCGCUGGUUAUGCCCUGAGUGGGCUAAAGAAAAUCCCCCAGUGUCACAGUGGUCUCCUAAUCCUGCAUACCACUUUGCCAUCAGCUCCAGGAAUGACGUAUGGGCUCGACCUGUUGGCCAGUGCGUGGUGUGCUCCAUGACACCCCCAGCUGCUUUCACUAAGAUGUCUAAGGGAAAGUGCCCGCGGUGCUGUUUGCUGUUUUGUGAAUAGUCCAGACUGACUGUGACAAUUCCCUAAUAAUCACUUAUUUUCAAGUCCAUUUCUGGAGGCUUCUACUUUUAUAUUGUCCAUAGAAAGUACUGUUACAGGGGGUGGGGGGGAAAGCGUGCUCAUCUCUGAUGUCAUAAAUCUCAUCUCACACUGUAAGCCCCAAUCAAUAUCUUGACCGAUUGUAUCUCUGUUUGGAUGAUGCUAAGUCAUUGGUUUGGUUCCUGGGUCUCCAAGUGAAAAGCAGUUGGUUGCUGCUCUUGUUGCAUGAUUACUUUAUGCCUUAGCAACACUGGCCCCACUGCCGCUGUAGAUUCUGUUCACAAUCUACACACAAAUCACCUCCUGGCUGCUGUCUACCUGAUACUACAACCCCUCACAAGCUCAGGGAACACUGCAGAAGAGGGGGGUGUGAGAUUGUAAGAGCCUAUAAUGAAGGGUUAGAAAAAGUAGAUUCAGGUUAACAUGACUGCAGCCAUCUUGAAUCUAAAUUGUCAUUGUGUAUUGCACAAUAAUCUUAGCCAGAGAUUUCUGUAUAUUCUCCUAGAAACUACAAAGAGACCCAUUAGAGAGAUCUGUGGAGCUCUACAAUGGGACCCUUGCUCCAGGAGUGAUCAGUACUUUGGUGUUAAGAUAAACUAAAUCCCGGUGAUGGAGACCCUUUUGUGCUAACUCAUGUAUGCUUCUACCGACCCAAACUGUGGGCAACCAGCUGCCUCUUAGGCCCACACUUCUGUAAAUCUCUCAGUAAAUUAUAUCUUGUACAACCCUA